UACGUAGGGUGCAAGCGUUAAUCGGAAUUACUGGGCGUAAAGCGUGCGCAGGCGGUUUUGUAAGUCAGCUGUGAAAUCCCCGGGCUUAACCUGGGAACUGCGUUUGAAACUACAAGGCUAGAGUGUGGCAGAGGGGGGUGGAAUUCCACGUGUAGCAGUGAAAUGCGUAGAGAUGUGGAGGAACACCGAUGGCGAAGGCAGCCCCCUGGGUUAACACUGACGCUCAGGCACGAAAGCGUGGGGAGCAAACAGG
rnacentral:rRNA from 1 species